rnacentral:RNase_P_RNA from 1 species
CAGUCGAGCGUAAUUAUUACGUUAGGAAAGUCCAUGCUGACACAAUCUGUGAUGAUUGUAAGUGUUUAUGCUAGGGGAAUAAAUAACCCUAGGUACCUUAAUGGUAACGGCGGAGAAAUUGAUGUAAAAGGCAAGAGUAUCCAUAAAGUGCCACAGAGACGAGUCUUAAGAAAUACUUAAGAUAUGAAACGUUGGUAAACCCCUUAAGUCAGAAACCCAAAUUUUGGUAGGGGAGUCAUAUUUUGGGAAUAAGAACUAAAAUAUGGUCAGUUAGCUGAAGAUAGAUGACUGUCUACUACAGAACAUGGCUUAUAG